rnacentral:rRNA from 1 species
AGUGAACGCUGGCGGUAGGCCUAACACAUGCAAGUCGAACGGCAGCACAGUAAGAGCUUGCUCUUACGGGUGGCGAGUGGCGGACGGGUGAGGAAUACAUCGUAAUCUACUUUUUCGUGGGGGAUAACGUAGGGAAACUUACGCUAAUACCGCAUACGACCUACGGGUGAAAGCAGGGGAUCUUCUGACCUUGCGCGAUUGAAUGAGCCGAUGUCGGAUUAGCUAGUUGGCGGGGUAAAGGCCCACCAAGGCGACGAUCCGUAGCUGGUCUGAGAGGAUGAUCAGCCACACGGGAACUGAGACACGGUCCCGACUCCUACGGGAGGCAGCAGUGGGGAAUAUUGGACGAUGGGCGAGAGCCUGAUCCAGCCAUACCGCGUGGGUGAAGAAGGCCUUCGGGUUGUAAAGCCCUUUUGUUGGGAAAGAAAAGCAGCAGGUUAAUACCCCGCUGUUCUGACGGUACCCAAAGAAUAAGCACCGGCUAACUUCGUG